CAAGGGUUAAGAAGCUUGCUAUAAAUCCUGGAUCUGAAUCUGCUUUAUUUGGCCUCAAGGAGCGAAGUGCUUAUGUCUACCAACCCCACCUUAAUGCGUUUCAGCGGGGGCAGCUUCAGCCUGCAUCGCUAGCCUUCUGUAAAUUGUGUGCUGUCCCUCUGGGUGAAGUGCCCCUGGCUUGAUUGGCAGUUGUCUCCCGGUAAGCAUUUCAUGCAGAAGAUGUUCCUUAUCAGUCAUGGCCAUAUUGCAGGUCAUGUAAAUCUCCAGUGCUGCUUGUGGACUCUGCUACAAGAUUGAUGGGAUCUUCUGAGAAAUCUCUGUACCAUGAGACUGGACUACAUGCAGCUGUGGGAAAAAUUCUCCUACAUUUGUCUCUUUCUUGUUAUGAACCAAGGGAAUGUGCACUGGCUACCUUUCUAUUCUAAGGCCCUGGAGCUGGUGGUGGCUCCUCUCUCAAUUCGUCAGCGAUGCUUCCUUUGUGAUGAGAGUUUUCCAACAUCAUGAUGCUCCCACCAGGGACGAACUUGAUGCCUGAGAUCUCUACCAGGUAGACAGAGUCAGCAUGCCUUCUUCACACCCAGUGGGCCACCAAGGACACAGGAUGCCAGAAGAGUCUUCAA